rnacentral:rRNA from 1 species
GAUGAACGCUGGCGGCGUGCCUAAUACAUGCAAGUCGAGCGAACAGACGAGGAGCUUGCUCCUCUGACGUUAGCGGCGGACGGGUGAGUAACACGUGGAUAACCUACCUCUAAGACUGGGAUAACUUCGGGAAACCGGAGCUAAUACCGGAUAAUAUAUUGAACCGCAUGGUUCAAUAGUGAAAGACGGUUUUGCUGUCACUUAUAGAUGGAUCCGCGCCGCAUUAGCUAGUUGGUAAGGUAACGGCUUACCAAGGCAACGAUGCGUAGCCGACCUGAGAGGGUGAUCGGCCACACGGGAACGGAGACACGGUCCAGACUCCUACGGGAGGCAGCAGUAGGGAAUCUUCCGCAAUGGGCGAAAGCCUGACGGAGCAACGCCGCGUGAGUGAUGAAGGUCUUCGGAUCGUAAAACUCUGUUAUUAGGGAAGAACAAAUGUGUAAGUAACUAUGCACGUCUUGACGGUACCUAAUCAGAAAGCCACGGCUAACUACGUG